UACGUAGGGGGCGAGCGUUGUCCGGAAUCAUUGGGCGUAAAGCGCGUGUAGGCGGCCCGGUAAGUCCGCUGUGAAAGUCCAGGGCUCAACCCUGGGAUGCCGGUGGAUACUGUCGGGCUCGAGUCCGGAAGAGGCGAGUGGAAUUCCUGGUGUAGCGGUGAAAUGCACAGAUAUCAGGAGGAACACCAAUGGCGAAGGCAGCUCGCUGGGACGUGACUGACGCUGAGACGCGAAAGCGUGGGGAGCAAACAGG
rnacentral:rRNA from 1 species